CGCCGCUGGAGUCGGGGCGUCUGUUCAACAGAGCGCAGUCCGCGCUCGAUGUGUGAGGUGAGAGUGUGUCGUUCUCCGCGCGCUUUUCCGUGACAGAAAAUCGACUCAAGGAUAGGAGGGAGUGCCGCGCCAUGCUGCUGGUGGCUGGACCUCGCCGCCGCCGCUUCCUGUGAUGACCGCCGCGAACACUAGCAGUGAGGGAGACAUGUUAUUUUCCACAAUCUUGGGGACUGUCUUUAGCUGGCUCGUGGUCAGGAAGUUAACUUAGAAGGAUUGGAGUGUCAUAAACUUUUUCAGCAGUGAAGUCAGCCCCUGAG